GCUCUAUUCCAGAAGCAGUCUGGAGCACAAAGAAUCCCUAAUCACUGACAUUAAGAAAGAAGAAAAAUAUUCCUAGGACGAUCCUGGAGAGCAAAGGUCAUCAGCAGUCACUUGACUUUCCUUGGAUUUCUCAACUGCAGUAGUCACAUGGUCUGCUGAAAAUGAAUUCUCUUUAUUUUCAUCUGAUUUCAAGGAAUUAUGGUUUUCAGUGAUUUCUUCAUUUGGAUCUAUUUUGAGACAGAGUAAUAGCAUUAAAACCCCCUUCUGAAUUAAUAAGGCAUUUGUUGCUGAAACGCAAAGUGUGACAAGCCAAUGGAGAAGAGACACAGACAUGCAGAGAAAACACAGGGAAGAAGGCCACAUGGGAUGAAGGCAGAGAAGGGAAUGAUGCAGCUACAAGCCAGCUACAAGCCAAGGAAUGCCAUGGACUGCUGGCAACCACUAGAAAGAAGCUGGAAGAGGCAAGGAAGGAUUCUUCCGUGAUGCCUUCAGAG
rnacentral:lncRNA from 1 species